rnacentral:rRNA from 1 species
GACGAACCGUGCGAACGUUGUUCGGAAUCACUGGGCUUAAAGGGCGCGUAGGCGGGCCGUCCAGUCAGGGGUGAAAUCCUCCAGCUUAACUGGAGAACAGCUUUUGAUACUGACGGCCUCGAGGGGGGUAGGGGCAUGUGGAACUUCCGGUGGAGCGGUGAAAUGCGUAGAUAUCGGAAGGAACGCCGGUGGCGAAAGCGACGUGCUGGACCCUUUCUGACGCUGAGGCGCGAAAGCCAGGGGAGCAAACGGG